rnacentral:piRNA from 1 species
UCACUUUGUGGCCUUGUGUAAUGAUGGU